UAGGGAAUAUUGCGCAAUGGACGAAAGUCUGACGCAGCAACUCCGCGUGAAGGAUGAAGGUCUUCGGAUUGUAAACUUCUUUUAUUUGGGAAGAAAAAGCUUUUGGUAACAGAAGACUUGACGGUACCUUAUGAAUAAGCUCCGGCUAAAUACGUGCCAGCAGCCGCGGUAAUACGUAUGGAGCGAGCGUUACUCGGAAUCACUGGGCGUAAAGAGUUCGUAGGCGGAUUCGUAAGUCAGAGGUGAAAUUUUGGGGCUUAACCCCGGAACUGCCUUUGAAACUGCGUAUCUUGAGUAUGUGAGAGGAAGAUGGAAUUCCUGGUGUAGCGGUGGAAUGCGUAGAUAUCAGGAAGAACACCGGUGGCGAAGGCGGUCUUCUGGCACAAUACUGACGCUGAGG
rnacentral:rRNA from 1 species